AUAAACGUCUGUUUCUUUAUCGUAAUAAUAUCACGAAGAACAAUAUGUCUUCAUCACAUCUUGCUAUUUUUUGCGUCAUUCUGAUUGCAUUAUUUCCACUUCAUGAAUGUAUGUGUUUAUACUAGUUUCCCUUUUCUCAUCAUAUAUCAAUAUUAUCCUUGCAAUCACAUCAUGAUAUCCAAGUGAUAUUGUUGUUGCUUUUUUGUUUAUAUAGUUGUCGAUGGCCAAGGUGCUAAUGCGGGAUUUUGCGUACCAGUCAAUUGCGACACUAAUGACAAAAAUCGCAGUUGUGCUACCUGUCACAUUGCCUCGCCACGCAAGACACUUAGUUUCAAGAGCUUAGCAGAAUGUAAGGCUGGGUGCAAGGCAUAAGUUAACUCGAGGCGUGCAAAUAGCACUGAAUAAACGUUUUACUUAACACGUAAUUUAUCUGCUUCCGAUUUUAACUACAAUACAUAAUCUUAUUUUGAGUCCAAUAAAUCAAAUUUAUGCCUAUUGUAUAUGUGUUUAGAGAUUUCCAUAUUCUACGUAAUACAAAAUAGUUUAACCUAUUUCUCUCCUUUUGUUUUGUUUGACUAUUAAUAUUUUUUUAAGAAAAUAUAUCUUCUGUAUAAUUACUAAGAAUAAGUUUUUUAAACUGAAUAGUUUGUAAUAAUGGUAAAUGGUAAGUUUUUUUUUCUAUUUCCUUAUACGCCAUAGAUCAAAGAAAAAACAUAGAUCAAAGAGUAAAUGUAGAGAUUUUCUUAUUAGUCUUCACAAUCACUUAAAACAAUAAUAAAAACUUAUAUUACUCUUUUAUCUUAGACUUUUUGUUAUCUUGUUUAAUAGGAAGACAAUGAAAAUAUAACAAAAAGAGAAAGACUCAUUAGCAUAAACGCUCUAAGUAUUGCUACAAAUUUACGUAAAGGACUUUAUAUAACCAAAUAUAAACAGAGUAGGUACAUCAGAUUUCAAAGACAAGAACUAACAAAAGCAACGAGAUGGUUCUGCAAAGUGACAAUGCUAACACAGGAACCAAACUUGGUCUCGCCGGUCUUGGCUACUCUUUGAUGGAUAUGUAACAUCCCGAUUUUUGGGGAUGCAAUCAUUAAAAGAAAUAAACCUGGUAAGUUGUCUGAAGCUAAUAUGGAGGAUUCUCUCUUCUAAUUUGGUAUGGGUUAAUUGGAUAAAUAUAUACCUAAUUAGAAAAGGUUCAUUAUGGACGGGUAAGGAGAACAUUCAAUUAGGUUCUUGGAUGUGGAAAAAAAAUUCUCAAAUGUAGAGAUAUUGGUAAGAGCUUGUACCGAGUAGAUAUAAGAAAUGGUAGGAAAACAUCUUUCUUGCAUGAAGCUUGGUCGCCACUGGGUUGUCUUCAGGAUAUGAUGAGGGAAGGAAACUAUAUUGAUAUGGGAAUUCCUAUAAAUGCAACCGUUGAUGUGAGUAGGAAGCAUAGAAGACCGCAUCAUCGGGUUCAUAUCUUGAAUAAUGUAGAAGAUGAGAUUGCGAGGUAUAAGGCAAACUUUGUUAAUGAAGAAGAUGUUUCCUUAUGGAAGAAUGGGACAUGACAAUACAAAAUGAACUUCUCAACGAGUGAAACAUGGAAGGUGAUUAGAAAAGAGUAUAUUGCUUGAAAUUGGUACAAAGAGAUUUGGUUCAAGUAUGUCACAUCGAAGCACUCUUUCAUUACUUGGGUUGCAAUGAAGGGGAGGCCUGCAACAGGAGAUCGCAUGAGGCAUUGGAGUGGGUUGGUGGACAGAUCUUGUGUCUUAUGCAAUGAUCCUUUGGAAACAAUGGAGCAUUUAUUUUUUGAGUGUGAGUAUUCUGCUCAAAUUUGGAAACAGAUGAUGGAAGGGGUGUUGCUACACAAGUAUACAAAUCAAUGGGAGAGGAUAAUGAGGAUCAUGAUAAGGCCGCAGGGGAGUAAAGUGAAGUCUUUUGUUAUUAAGUACAUGUUUCAACUUUCUAUUCACACAAUCUGGAGGGAAAGAAAUCGAAGGCGGCAUGGGGAGAGCCCCUCUCCUGUGAAUAUUUUGGCAAGUUUGAUAGACAAGGGGAUGAGAAACAAGCUCACUAUCAUUCAGAGGAGAAAGGAUAAAGAUUUGGAGGGAGGCAUGAUCUAUUGGCUUAGUACCAGAAUUUGAAGUUUGUUUUUUUAUCAUUGGUUUUGAGCUUUUCGAUUUUACUUUGGGAGUUAGUUAUAGUAGAAGGAGAUAGGGUUUUCAUUUUUUUUUUUGUCAACAUCAUUACAGACUCAUAUUGACUCUGUAAACCACACCGGGAGAUAUUGAUCCAUAUGAACGACGAAAGACGUUUGUUUCCUGACACUGUGUGCUAGGUUAUCUGCCUUUGUAUUUUGCGUUCUUGGUACAUGUAUAAUCUCUGAUCGUGUGAAGCUCUCAGACUCUCUUUCAGACUCUUGAUAGGGUUUUCAUUUAGACAGGUAACACUUGAUGUAACAAGGUUAUUUCUUCUUUGAAUUCAGUUUAACAUUCAAUUCAAAAAAAAAUUAAAAUAGAUAUUUCGAACAACAAAUACUAUUAUCAGAAUUUUUUAAUUUACCAAUAAACAAUGAUAUCAUUAAAAAAAUUUAUAGUCAUAUUGUUUGUUGUUUUUGAUUAAAAUAAGAAUGAUAUAAUGGUACAUGAUUUAUUUUUAAAAUCAUUUAGAAAUAAAACAUACCUUGAAAAGAAAAAUAAAGCACCUCAAAAUGUAAUUAAAAACAAAAUUAUAUAUACAAUAAUAUAAAUAGAAGUCAUUAUAUAGCUACAUGUAUUUAUAUAUUAUAAAAAAAUCAACACAAUUUAAAAAUAUAUAAAUACAACCGCCACUCUAAAUACAAAAAAAUAAAUACCUAUUUUGACAAGAAGAAAUAAAUACUCACACCAAUUUUUUUAAAUAACUUCCAAAAAGAACUUUUUUAAACCAAACGAUUUUGUUGCAUUUCCAACACAAUUAUAUGAUACCUCAUAACAAAACCAACAAUGGUUCUUUACAAAAAUGUGGAAUUUAUGCCUGGAUUUAAGAUGGGAGUAUCUCAUUGGUUGAGCCAUAUAUGGCAAAGUUAAUUUAGAGUUUUUUUUUCAAAGGAAAUGGCAUAAGAAUGUAAAUAACUCAAAAAAAUAUGAGGGCAAAAUCCUAGUAGAGAUUCUGCUUUAAUAGUAUAAAUAUAUUUUUCAAUAUGAUAACCACACAAUAGUUUGAAAAUUUCUAUAACCAACUUAAUAAGGAAAAAAGGAGUUGAACACAGAUAUGAUAACCAGACACUAAUUAGAAAGAAAAAAACAGUCAAACAAAUCUAAUCAAUUUUUAAGGAUUACCAUGCAAGACAUGCAUUACUAAUUAGAUUGUUCUAUCUAUAAAUUAAUCAUGAUCUUAAAUAGAAAUUACAACCAUCAAACUAGUAAAUCAAAAAAUAAAAAUUCUAAUAAACGUCUGUUUCUUUAUCGUAAUAAUAUGACGAAGAACGAUAUGUCUUCAUCACAUCUUGCCAUUUUUUGCGUCAUUCUGAUUGCAUUAUUUCCACUUCAUGAAUGUAUGUGUUUAUACUAGUUUCCCUUUUCUCAUCAUAUAUCAAUGUUAUCCUUGCAAUCACAUCAUGAUAUCCAAGUGAUAUUGUUGUUGCUUUUUUGUUUAUAUAUAGUUGUCGAUGGCCAAAGUGCUAAUGCGGGAUUUUGCGUGCCAGUCAAUUGCGACACUAAUGACAAAAAUCGCAGUUGUGCUACCUGUCACAUUGCCUCGCCACGCAAGACACUUAGUUUCAAGAGCUUAGCAGAAUGUAAGGCUGGGUGCAAGGCAUAAGUUAACUCGAGGCGUGCAAAUAGCACUGAAUAAACGUUUUA
rnacentral:lncRNA from 1 species